rnacentral:rRNA from 1 species
GACGAGGGACCCUAGCGUUGUUCGGAAUCAUUGGGCGUAAAGCGGGUGUAGGUGGCUUUGUAAGUCAGGUGUGAAAGCCCUGGGCUCAACCCAGGGAAGUGCAUUUGAUACUGCGAAGCUUGAGUGCCGGAGAGGUUACUGGAAUACCUGGGUGUAGUGGUGAAAUACGUAGAUAUCAGGUGGAACACCGGAGGCGAAGGCGGGUAACUGGCCGGACACUGACACUCAGACCCGAAAGCGUGGGGAUCAAACAGG